AUUCAUCUUUGAGGUUCUUCUCCUGGUUUAGUUAUGUAAUUGAGAAACAUCAUGAUUAAAUCUUUUGGUUGGGUUCUUAACAACUCUUUUCAGUAAUUGGCUCUUAAAAACAUUCAAAAUAGUAUAUCACAAUUGUGUUUUAAGACAUAAAAUGUUUUAGAAUUUCUAUUUCAGCUGUGCUAGAUUUAUUUUUGUGCAAUUACUAUUGGCUUGACAGGCGAAUGGAGGACAAUUCAAAAGAAAAAAAACAAAGAAACGUACCAGAGCGUACCACAAUUUAGGUAGCGUUGGAUUCUACGUCUCUACUAAAACCACUUUUUUGGCGAAACAAUUAGGUAAAUAUAAGGAUGCAUUUGCAGAAUAUACAGCAAGAACUGCAUUUGAGAGACCGUUAUUAAGCGGGGUAGCGUAUGUACCGAGGAUACUGACUUCCGAACGAGAAGACUUCGAAAGUCAACACGGUGGGACUAUAAGAACAAUGGCCAACAAGGAGCCGUCCCCUCACCGCGAUGAAUAAGCACCAAUGAUAUUCUCUCAAGAAACCGUUUCUUACCUCAAAACGAAUUAGUUUUAUGACGAUACUUACUGGUUUAUAUUGUUUUUUGACAUUGAAGAAGCCUAUAGGAGUAACUGCUCCACUGGAUGAAGCUUGCAUGUUUCCCAAGUCAACACAUGAAACAUUUGCGAACAAGCUUUUCUAGAAUUUGCGGGCCCACUCAAGGUUUGGGAAGGCGGAAUUCUCUGAGACAGAUUUCGCCAUUUCUCACUAUGCUGG